GCGCCCAUCGUCUAGCGGUUAGGACGCCGCCCUUUCACGGCGGUAACACGGGUUCGAGUCCCGUUGGGCGUG
rfam:Sinorhizobium fredii GR64 contig00007, whole genome shotgun sequence.